UACGUAGGGUGCAAGCGUUGUCCGGAACUAUUGGGCGUAAAGAGCUCGUAGGCGGUUUGUCGCGUCUGCUGUGAAAUCUGGGGGCUCAACCCCCAGCCUGCAGUGGGUACGGGCAGACUAGAGUGCGGUAGGGGAGAUUGGAAUUCCUGGUGUAGCGGUGGAAUGCGCAGAUAUCAGGAGGAACACCGAUGGCGAAGGCAGAUCUCUGGGCCGUAACUGACGCUGAGGAGCGAAAGCUAGGGGAGCAAACAGG
rnacentral:rRNA from 1 species